ensembl:lncRNA PVT1 Pvt1 oncogene
GAGAGGCAGGCGGGCCCUAGCUGCAGCGUCAAGGCUGACCUGUGUGGAUGCAUUAUCAGGGUGGAUGCAACACAGGGCUGCCAUGCUCUCUGGUAUCAGUUUGGAAGGCACUGGCAGGAUGGGAAGGCAGGCGGGGAGUGAGGUCAGGGGGCCUAUCCUUCCACUGCCUCCCUGCUGCUCCCUGACUGAUUCAGAAGGACAGAAUAACGGGCUCCCAGAUUCACAAGCCCCACCAAGAGGAUCACCCCAGGAACGCUUGGAGGCUGAGGAGUUCACUGAGGCUACUGCAUCUUGAGACUCAGGAUGAAGACCCAGCUUGGGGCUGUCAAAGGUUUUUUGCAUGUCUGACACCCAUGACUCCACCUGGACCUUAUGGCUCCACCCAGAAGCAAUUCAGCCCAACAGGAGGACAGCUUCAACCCAUUACGAUUUCAUCUCUGCCCCAACCACUCAGCAGCAAGCACCUGUUACCUGUCCACCCCCACCCCUUCCCCCAAACUGCCUUUGAAAAAUCCCUAACCUAUGAGCUUUGAAUAAGAUGAGUACGAACUUCAUCGCCCACGUGGCGUGGCCGGCCUCGUGUCUAUUAAAUUCUUUUUCUACUACAA